rnacentral:rRNA from 1 species
UCUUCCCUCUGUCGGCGUGCCUAAUACAUGCAAGUCGAGCGAACGGACGAGAAGCUUGCUUUUCUGAUGUUAGCGGCGGACGGGUGGGUAACACGUGGAUAACCUACCUAUAAGACUGGGAUAACUUCGGGAAACCGGAGCUAAUACCGGAUAAUAUUUUGAACCGCAUGGUUCAUAAGUGAAAGACGGUCUUGCUGUCACUUAUAGAUGGAUCCGCGCUGCAUUAGCUAGUUGGUAAGGUAACGGCUUACCAAGGCAACGAUGCAUAGCCGACCUGAGAGGGUGAUCGGCCACACUGGAACUGAGACACGGUCCAGACUCCUACGGGAGGCAGCAGUAGGGAAUCUUCCGCAAUGGGCGAAAGCCUGACGGAGCAACGCCGCGUGAGUGAUGAAGGUCUUCGGAUCGUAAAACUCUGUUAUUAGGGAAGAACAUAUGUGUAAGUAACUGUGCACAUCUUGACGGUACCUAAUCAGAAAGCCACGGCUAACUACGUG